AAAAAAGACUAGACGAUGUUUGAACAAGGAAAUUCGAUCGAAACAACAAACUCCAUUAGUACCCCUCAUUUUACCAUAUCCCGGCAGAUCGUGACUACCUUUCCACCAGCUUUGUGUUCGACUUUUCCGGUGCGUGAUGAAUUUAACUCUGACUUGGAAGAAAUUCUAACUGAUCAGAACAGGAUCAAUUCCGAGAAGAAACUCGAUCCUUAUGAAUGGAGAUGUUUAUGUUUAAGGUUUUCACAGGAGGUUGCCCCAGUGAUAUUUACCGGAGAGUGUAUAUUUUCCAAAGGAACCAAAUUGGAAAUGGUAGAUUAUGUUACUGGACAACAAGUGAGACAUGGGCCUCUAGCUUCAGCACAAGUUGAAAUAUUUGUACAUAAUGACGACGAACUAAACAGUCAUAUGAAGAUUCAAACAAGAGGUGACCAAAAUUCAUAUCUGAGGUUGGAAGGAGGUGUUGUUUCUGUUAACAAAAUUAUAUUCAAAUACUCUACAAAUCAUAUGAAGAAGUCGACCGGGGUAAAGCUAAGAGCAAGGGUUGUCGAUCAACCUCAAGUGAUAGAGGCCGUGACAGGACCCUUUACUCUCAAGGAUAAACGUUCAAAAAGCAAGAAACGGUACCCUCCAUCACCAACGGAUCAUGUAUGGAGACUAGACCAUAUUUACAAAAACGGUCCCUUCCAUAAGAGGAUGAAUGAAAACGGUAUAAAAACAGUGGAGGAUUUCCUAGUUGAACUCCAAAACAAUCCUCAGAGGCUACGUCAUAUCCUUGGCAAAAGCAUGUAUGAAAAUUGCUGGAAAAAAGUCACAAUGCAUGCUAAGACUUGCAAUCUUGACGGAAGAAAAUACCAUCACUUGGGGAAUUUGGUCGCGGUUGACGAAUGCCAGUCUUUAGAGUUAGAAAAUACUUCAGUGAGUAAUAACCAAAUUUAUUUGGGAGCAGCUGAAAGUAACCAGUGGUUAGAGAGUGCUGAAUCUUAUGCAAUUGUUGACCGGAUAUACGAGACAGAUGAGACGUCUCUUGAUAUCACAUCUGUGAUUUCAGAAUCAGAAUAUUGGGAGAAAAUUAUGCAAUUUCUUGAUUCAUAGUUAGACUACGUACGUUCAUUUCACAGCACUACUUUUCUUUCCUUUCCAGCUCGUGUAUCCGCACUUAAGAAUUAAUAGAUUGGCAAGGCCAAACACAUGGAAAUGAUUCUUUUGACGACGAGACUUUGGAAGGGUACCAAUAUUCUAUUAUGGUAUCAUGCAUUUGAAGUGUGAUUAUCGAUUUUUUAUCUUAAAAAUACUUAAUUAUUAAAAUACGUUAUUAUAUUAUACGUCUAAAGAUACGAUUACACAAAAAUUCAUUAGUCCAGAACAUGUGUAAUUUUUGGGCUAUUCGUCAACGCAAUUUACCAUCUCAUAAUCUUUUUAUACAUUGUAAGGAUGAAUUUCUCACUUAAAAAUAGUGUGGCCUUACUUUGUAUUGGGAGGAAGGAAAAAGAGUGGAAGAAAAGAUGAGAAGAUAAAAGAUUGGAAGAAAGGAUGAGAAGUAUUAUAUUAUGUAUAUAUUGAGUUAGUGUAGUGAAAGAGAGAGUUAAGAUAAAAGAACUGAUAAUAUAAAAGAAAUAUAGUAGUUAUCGUUUAAUUUAUUUAUAUUUUAUAGUAAAU